GACAGAGGGUGCGAACGUUGUUCGGAAUUACUGGGCGUAAAGCGCGUGUAGGCGGUCGUGCAAGUCGGGUGUGAAAGCCCUGGGCUCAACCCAGGAAGUGCAUUCGAUACUGCGCGACUGGAGUCCCGGAGAGGAUGGUGGAACUCUCGGUGUAGAGGUGAAAUUCGUAGAUAUUGGGAGGAACACCGGUGGCGAAGGCGACCACCUGGACGAUGACUGACGCUGAGGCGCGAGAGUGUGGGGAUCAAACAGG
rnacentral:rRNA from 1 species